CGAACGAAGCAAUAGGAAGGAAGUUUUCGGAUGGAAUUCAUAUUGACUGAGUGGCGGACGGGUGAGUAACGCGUGGGUAACCUGCCUCAUACAGGGGGAUAACAGUUAGAAAUGACUGCUAAUACCGCAUAAGCGCACAGAAUCGCAUGAUAAUGUGUGAAAAACUCCGGUGGUAUGAGAUGGACCCGCGUCUGAUUAGCUAGUUGGUGGGGUAAAGGCCUACCAAGGCGACGAUCAGUAGCCGACCUGAGAGGGUGAUCGGCCACAUUGGGACUGAGACACGGCCCAAACUCC
rnacentral:rRNA from 1 species